GAUGAACGCUGACAGAAUGCUUAACACAUGCGAGUCUUUGGCGAAGCUGUGCUUGCACAGCCUAGCCAAGGCGGACGGGUGAGUAACGCGUAAGGAACUUGCCCUGCAGUCAGGGAUAACAGACGGAAACGACUGAUAAGACCUGGUAAAGUCAGGCGGACUCAUGUCCAGCCUGAUGAAAAGAGAUGCUGCAGGAGAGCCUUGCGUCCUAUUAGCUUGUUGGUGGGGUAACGGCCCACCAAGGCGAUGAUAGGUAGCCGGCCUGAGAGGGUGGACGGCCACAAGGGGACUGAGAUACGGCCCUUACUCCUACGGGAGGCAGCAGUGGGGAAUAUUGGACAAUGGGGGCAACCCUGAUCCAGCAAUUCUGUGUGCACGAUGAAGGUUUUCGGAUUGUAAAGUGCUUUCAGCAGGGAAGAAAAAAAUGACGGUACCUGCAGAAGAAGCGACGGCUAA
rnacentral:rRNA from 1 species